ACUUCCUAUAUAUCAAUGUUUACCUUCGGACCAUUCCGGAGCUCCUCGUGACGUCCUGGAUCUCAUCCGGGACUCUGAACAACUUUCGGUUACCAACACCUAUAACUCAACUAUAUCGAAAUGUCAUCGAACCUUAAGUGUGCAGACCCUGCGGGUUUGAGAACUAUGCAGACAUGACCCGAGACACUCCUCGGUCGAUAUCCAACAGCGGGANNNNNNNNCCCAUAUUGGAUCCUACAUAUUCUCCGAAGAUCUUAUCGAUUGAACCUCACUGCCAAGGAUUCAUAU
rnacentral:lncRNA from 1 species